UUAUUCUUAAAAUAUUGCAUAUUAGUAAAUAAAAGACAACUACGAUGGAGAUGGCGAUUGCGACUGCGAUCUUUAGGGUUUCGAUCUGAGAUGGCGAAUUCCGGUGAAGAGGGGGGAGGAUUGAGGGACGGUCUCUCGAUUGCUCUUGAUGGCUGUAGAAUUUGACAUUGGAUGGCUAUUCGAUGUCGAAAUUUCGAGAUAUUGGGUCAGUUAAUUUCAGAUCCGGCUCCAUGUGGGGGAUCUGCCGGUUUUUGGGUAUUGCGAGUAAGGACUGAGAGAGGUUGGAUAAGAUUCUCAUGUUUACUUAGUUGGAUUCACGUCCCAGGUCGGUUGUUUUUGGAUCUUCCUUUUAUGGAUGCUUGGAUUGAUACGUAUCUCGAAUUGAUUCUGAGGGUUUAUGGGAUCUAUGUUAUUGAGGUUACGAUUUUGGCUGUGGGCGAUACGAUCUCUCAGUUUUCGGGAAUUGGUAUAUUUGGUUAUUUACAAUCAAAGGUUUUUUUGGUAACUAUGAGGAUAUGGUAUCUGAUUUCUUCCCGGUUGGUGAUCGUGGAUUGUGGCUGUAUAUUAUUUUGCUUGAGAGGAGGUUUGUAUUACGGUAUUACUUUCUUCGUUUUCAAAAACUGGUGGUUUUGCUGGUGUACCAUUCUCGGGGUUUCCUUCUUGGAGUUUCAACGUUCAUCUUUGUCAAUGUGUGUGAGACUGCUCAUGGCUCAAUUGGCAAUCAACAAAGGCAAGGCAGCUAUGGUCCGUACUGUGGUUGUCAAGAUUUCGAGUUCUGUCUUGGCACAGCGAAUUCAACUAUUCUCACUUAUUCUGAUCGGAAGGCUAAUGAAUCCGGCAGUUCAGAGGAUAGAAUCCUUGAUUGUUAAUCUACCAAAGAUUUGGAAGCUGCAAGCUAAAGUCUUGGGAGCAGAUUUGGGGCAGGGUACCUUUCAGUUCAACUUCGAGGAAGAAACGGAUCUUCAGGAAGUUUUGCUCAAUGGUCCGUAUCAUUUUGAUGGCUGGAUGAUCUCAUUGGUUCGUUGGGAGCCUAUUGUUUCUGAUUCCUACCCUUCGGCUAUCAGUUUCUGGGUGAAGGUGGGUGGAAUCCAUAUGCACCUAUGGGAGUUGGCGACUUUAGAAGCCAUUGGGAAGAAGAUUGGUCGAAUAAAGGAGUUAGAUGAGGAAAUGGGUAGCAUUUGUGUUACGGUAAACGGCUUCAAUCCUUUGCUUUUCCAUAUGGUGGUCCCUUUUGAUACAGGUGAGGAGGUAGUGGUAUCUAUCGAGUACGAGAAGCUUUCUGGUUUUUGUAAGCACUGCUUCCGUUUAACACACGAUGUGUUGGUCUGUCCUGGGUUGACAAAUGUUUAAGCUACUCGAGGGUUGGUUGAACAAGCGAAUAAGAGGGGUACUCAACGACAGCAGGGCGGGGUUAAACAAGGUUCUGCUCAACAUGAUGGUGGGUGGGAGAAACCAAGAAAACAUGUGAAGCAUGUUUUGGAUUUCCAAACUGAGCAGGUCAAUGAGAGGAAACAAUCUCAGUUUAGGGGUAGGGAUUCCAGUUCGUCUGGUUACCCUUCACAAGUCAGAAACCAAGGUCUGGCUUGGGGACAAAAGAUGAGAUAUUAUGGUAGUGGGUCAGGAAAUAAUCUUGGUGUCGAUCACUCGGAUUCGUAGGUUAUUAACAGUUAUGUGGUGGAUCAUUUAUCCAGUGCUCCCCAACAAAGAAAGGGCAUUCGACCGAUGUUGCCAAAACCAUUGUACAAGGUCAAACAAUCUUCUGGUGAGAAAGGAAACCAUCGUCCUGUUCAGGGUGGUGAUGACACUGUGGUGGUCGAGGAUAAUUCUGUGGAGGUACCUGUUGAACAUGGUUCAGGAGAGGGGGAUGAGGAUCUUCAGGAUCAGGGAUUUAAUGAGAGUACUGAUGAUCUGCUGGAGGAUGGGGAGUUUGACGAUGAUACUAAUCUUCAGGAUUCAAGGUUAGCAUCGGAUUUAAUGCUUAAGGAUGGCACUGAAUCGGUGUUAGAGACGGAGGAUAAUCUUAUUCUGAUUCUGAUAAUCUUAGCCGGUACUCAUGUUUCUGAUUCUCUUUCUUUGAGUAUGCUUGACAUGAAUUCUGCUAUGGAAACAGUAUCUUUGGGAAAGCGGAUCAGUUUUAAUCCUAAAGCGGGUAAAGGCGUUAAACAGGCGGGUGUGGGUAAGCACGGUCAAAAGGCUAAAGAUGGCAGUUCUGCUGGUGGCGGAAGUCGGCCUUUCAAGAAAGGGAUGGUGGCUCUCCCGAAACCACCGGCUCAAACGUGAAGGUUCUAAGCUGGAACUGUCAGGGCAUUAGGGCUGAGUUGACAUAGAAUUAUUUGGGUGAUUUAUGGAGGAAGCAUCAACCAUAUAUUUUAUUUUUAGAGACAAAAAUGUUUUUCUUAUUUGCAAAAAUUUCAAAAUAAGUUUGGUUAUAAGAAAUUGUUUACUGUUGAACCCCGCGGGGGCUAGUGGUGGUUUGAUGUUAUUUUUGAAGGAUGAAAUAAAUCUUUCUAGUCUCUUUGAUAAUGAUCGUAUUAUUGAUACA